CUGUUCAGAGUUUAUGGAAAGCUGGAUCAAGCUAAAAAGACAAUCAUCUGAUGGCGAAUCCAAAAGACCUGGAACUGUGCUGCCUCUUUCCGCGCUGCUUUACAUCCAGAACCAGACUCCCGGGGCUUCACCGAUCUGGACUUGGCACCGGUUUUUCCCGGAUGACGUAAUGCCGAGAGAGUGGCUGCGACCGUCCAGCAGAUGGCAUCAACCCUGACUGCUGCUGCUGCUGCUGCUGCUGCCUCCGUCAGCCGACGUCACCGAGGAGGUGACUGUACCGCGGUGGCGUCAGCUUCCCGUGGUGCAGGAUUUUGUCAUCAUUUAGGUCGUGACUGGGGAACAAAAAGCUCCAAAUGACAGAUUCGUGCUACAGAGGCGUGCUUCGUGGAGACGUCCCGAGAGGUCUAUGGCAACCCGAUUAAAACUAAAAUAGUGAGGCAGAAUCUUAACGGAGUAACUCAUAAUUCGGAUUUCAGCCAUUCAGAAUGUCAUUCGUCUCUAAAACCAUAUAUUUCCGGUUAUACUUGCGUAUACAAGUUGAAAGAUAUGUGAUAUUACUAACCAACAACAACCUUGUUAUAACGUAAUUAUAACGAAGAUACUUUUAAUAUAUGGGGCCUAAAGUUAACAUAAAACAUGUGAGAUAAAAUCAGGGCUUCAUAUGUAGAUAAGUCAUAGUUUUCCUUGCAAUCAUUCAGCUAUUUGCAAUAUCUGUAGAAAAUUGUAUUUGUAGACGGAAUAUAUAAGACAAUAAAAAUUGACAAAUUUAUGCUAUUGAUAUCUUUUUUACAAAGAAAGAAUGUGUUUUUUGUUUUUACUCUUCUUCAAAUGUAUUCUAACACAGAUAAUUUAUCUCCCCCUGCCCGUCUCUCUCUCUCUCUCCCUAUCUUUCUCUCUCUUUAAAAAUAAUAUUUUUUAAAGAUUUUUGUUAGACCUACUGCCAACAAAAGACACCAACUAAAGUAUAGGCGAAUUACAUUUAAAUCCAUCUAAACAUGAUCAAUAUAAAAUACACUGAACUAAACAUUGUUAAAUUAUUAAGAAUUUAUAUGACUAUAGGUAUUACUCUUGAAAUGGUUAUGUAUUUAUUUAGGAAAUAGUUGAUGAAAAUAACAACCCAACCUUCAAAGAUAAGAACCAGAGACACAUAUUUGAAGGAAAUGGAAUAUUAUGUAAUAUAUCCAUCUCUAAUUUUCAAAAGUAAAACAUAUUUGCUUUGCCAAUAGGAUGCAUGCACGUUUUAGUACAAUUACAAGAAAGCUUUGAUUGAAAAAAUAAAUAUCAAACAAUUACAAAAUUUGCUUCAGCAACAUGCCUUUUUUUAAUAAGCUAAACGUUGUAAAUAAUUAUGCAACAAAAUUAAAGUAUUUCUUUUUAGAAAUGUAUGCAAAAUAGAAUAAGAGUAUAAAGACAGAAUAAAAAUGAUCGUGAAUAUACCGACAUCUAGUGGACAUUUUAAAACAGUGCAUAUUGUGGAUUAAAGUAGCAGCAAGGGAGAUACUCAGAAAGUUGAUUAAAGAUGGAGCAAAUCUCUUUACGAAAAUCAUAAACUUUUUAAAUAAAAUAAAAAAAAUCUCAUAUGAAAUGCAUUUCCAAACUUUUUUGGUAAAUGUCUACUAAAUUUAAUUAUCAGAUCAGAUUUUUUAAAAAACAAUAAAAAAAACAAUUGGCCAAAAUUGGGAACGGAGUAAAAAGAGUAGUGUUUGACUUUAUGUCACCUCUCUGUUUAUCAUAUGUUAAUUACUUUACCUAUUUUUUUUUUCUUUAAAGGAUAAAAUAUCAUUCAGUUAAAUGACAUUCAACUGAAGUGUGCCGCUUGGGCAGGAAAAAUACAUUUUUAAUAGAAUAUUGACAUGAAAAUUCUCAGAUGAGAAUGUCAGACAGACAGGGCAAAAUCUACUAACUUAAAUACACAAAAGCCCAAAUAGAUUAGAAAAGGGUUUGAGUUUGUGUCAUUAAGACACUUGUUGACUGCUGCUAGAUUUCCCCCUGGUUUAACUUUAUAUUGUCUUAGCUUUUGAUUAAUCUUGUCAUUUCUUCUUCAGUCAGUGAGAGCUAGAGUUCUUGUCUUGUGACAUUUCAGUAGUGGUUGCAGUGCUGUGUAAUAAUCCCUACAUGUCCUCAUUCACCGUUAUUUCUACCUUCUCCUUUCCUGUGUCUACAUAGUUCACCUACAUUUUAUUCAUCACUCCUGAAUACACCCCUUGGCUCUUACUUUAUUACACCUGAUACUUUUGUGGUCACAGGUUAAUAGUUUUCAUUUAUCCACCCGUUAUUUGUUAUUUAUUACUUGGUCUGUUUAAUCUCCUGUCAUUUGGUAGAAGAUAUUGAUUGUUCUUUUGGCUCAAUGAACAAGGCAGCUAAACUCCCUCUAACAAGUUUGAAAGUGACUUUUCUUCAACCUGUAUCUAAUUUUUAUGUAAACAAAAUUGCUUCAUUUAUUGCUAUGGCGCCUCUAUUCAUCUCACCUUGUGUGUUUGCAAUGAAAAAAAUAUUGAGAACACAAUAACGUUUUCUGCCAAUCUUUUUUAUUGUCAUUAGAAAUGGAAAUUAAACAAGAUAAAGACACACACAACUUUUUAGAAAAACAAAAACAGAUACAACUCUCAGAGGUGGCAAGGGUUGAUCAGAAACACUUGAACCCCAGGAAGAAUCUGGACAGUGGUUCCCUUUAAAAAUUGAUACCAGUUACUUUAGCAAUAUGUCACUUGAGAGUGUACAAUACGCCAUAUGAAGCAGUUUUUUCAUGACCUUUCGCACUCAAAGUGACAGCCUCUUAUUAACCAACAAC